CACCCGGCGCUGACCCGCGCUUCGGAAGGCCGUGCUGCGGCGUGCAGCACCUGGCGAGGGGCUCCCCGGUUCGGGGCUGACUGGGAACUGCCGGGAGAGCCCCGCGGAGGGCUGCGGAGCUCCUGGGGCCUAGAGCACCUCCUGAUGGGGACAGGCUGAGAGCCCCGGGGCUAUGUGCCCAAAGGAGAGAAGGCUGAGGGGGCCUGAGCUGCUCUGACCCACACCUGAAGGGCUGGGGACAGGGGGAUGGACCAGACCCACCUGGGCACUGUGUGCAUCUGCUGUAGGAACUGCUGCAGGUCGGGCUGGGGGAGCUCCAGAGGCCCCUUCCAGCCCCCACGUCCUGGGGUUCUGGCACCUUGAAUGAUAUGUUCAGUUCUGGGCCCCUCAAUACAGAAAAGACAUAGAGGCCCAGCAGUGUGUGUCCAGAGAAGGACAACGGAGCUGUGCAGAGUCUGGAGCACAGUCCUAUUGGGAAUGGCUGAGGGAAGUGGGAUGGUUCAGACUGAAGGAAGCUCAGAGAAGACCUCACAGCUCCCUGCAACUCCUGGAAGGAGAUUGGAGUGAGGAAGGGUCAGCCUCUGCUCCCAGGUAACAGCGCUAGGACAAGAGGUAAUGGCUUCACAUUGCACCAGGAGAUGUUCAAGCUGGGUAUUAGGAACAAUUUCUUCUCCAAACAGCAGUCAGGCUCUCGCUCAGGGGGCGGGGGGGUCAACAUCCAUGGAGGUGUCCCAGAGCUGUGGGGAUGUGGCACUGAGGGACAUGGGCAGUGGGCAUGGUGGGGUGGCUGGGAUUGGGUGUGGGGAUCUCAGAGGUCUUUUCCAACCUUAAUGAUUCUUUGAUUCUGUGAUUUCCUGGGAAUUCAGCUGUUGUUUCACUUGAGGACCCAGGCAGUUCCCAGCACACAGACCUAGUUAGCAGGGAGCAGCUCUGUGCUGUAUUAACAUCAUUUAUCUACUGCAGGACCUUCCCCACUUCUCCAUUGAGGUUCAGUCUGGAGGCCUGACCACUUGUAAACAGAGAGGACCUUUCCAAUGCUGCUGAUUUGUUGUAGGGCUGCUGCAUUCAUAAUACAGAUGAUUCACAAAAGAACUCCUAGAGCUCCUGCCCAGAGAAGUGCUCAGUCUCUGAGUGCCCACCUUUGAAAAAACAGGCAGUGACUAAUGGGUGUGCAGAGACAGGUUCAUUCACACUUUUUAUUCCCAGUUGUUCCCAGUGGCCCCAGUCUGGCAUGGAGCUGGCACCUGCGGCUACCUCUCAGUGACUGAGAACCCUGCUACAUCUCGUCCUUGAGCUGCAGCUUCUCAGGAUCCCUGCUGAUUUUUACCAGGGUUGGCAGAAGCACUAGUGAGCAGUUAGUUAGCCCCAGCUUUAACAGAGCAGAGGCCAGACUUCAACACUGCCGCCUCUGGGGAAUAGUUAGCGGACCCCAUGGGGCCAGGUGCAGGAAACCUGCAGUGCCGGGAUGGAGGUCGUACUUGGGCUUCGCAGUGCAGGGCAUGCAGGCUUGGUUUUCUCUGUUGAGCAUUUCCUUCUCAAAAGUUCUCCAAUUCUUUAGCUAUACAAAAUAGCAGAUACCCAGUCUCAAACUUCUAACAGUUAAAUGAAGCACUAGGCCUAUGAGGCUUGAAAGUGAGUUGCAUGACAUACCAGUGGACUCCAUGAUUUUUGGAGACAUUUUGUGUGUCUUCUGUCUGAUUGCCUCUGUUGAUUGGCCCCCUGUUCUGGGAUAGCCAGGGACAGCCCUGUUGGAGCACCUGCUCCGGUCCAUAAGGGCUCUCCAUUUCUCAUCCCAUUUGCCAUGUGCUGGGCUUCCAGGGACACUGCUGGCUGCCACAGCCAUGCUGUUGGAAGCCAGCUGGCAGUUCCUGGCCAGCAUUGUUUUGCAGUGAGAAGGCACACAGCAGUGAUACACCAUGGUCCUCUCUUCUCCAAACCUCCUCGCUGAACUUUUGACUGCUCUGUACAUUGCAGUGUACUGAAGUUGUGGUUCCACCGGUGCUUGGGAUCUCCUUUUCCAUGCUAGACCAAAGCACCAGCGGAUCUAUGGCUGUGUCCAAAACCACCUCCCCACAGGGCUGUCCAUGCACAGCCUGUAUCCUCAUGCAGCUGAUGCCAUGGAAGCAGGAUCCUGCUGACUGCAAGUCUCUGCUUUCCAGGCAUCAGCCUCUAGCCACGCUUCUUGGCUGCCUCCCAGAAACUGCUUUUAUUGCCGUUCUUUGUGCUCACUGCUUAGUCAAUGUGCUUUACAGGCAGCAAGAGACGUGCUCUCUAUCAGGCACAGAAAAACAACCUGCCGUGGGCAUGAGCAAUGGGCACAGCUCCCCACCACCUGCGUCCCUGGGGCAUGCUCCGGCCUCCUGUUGGUGGCUAAAUGUCAGCAACAGGUCCCUUCUGAGGGGCCGUGGGAACCCAAUCCCUCCCCGUGGGUCAUAUAUAACCACGGGAGCUAAAUUAGAGCUGCAGUAGUUAUGUAUGGCUAUCAGCUCUCUAGGUGGCAUUUAAAGGCCGUAAGCAACUGCAUGGGUUGGCUUUCAGAAGUUUUGCAAAGUCAGGGAUAUUUGGGCUGGAAGUAGUUUUAAUCCCAGACAAAUUAGGGGAUGUGGUACUGCCUUUUCCUUUGAAGAGGAAACAGGAUCCCAAGGGAUAGCUGGAAUUAGUACUCCGUAGAUAUUCGGGUACAGAAUCCACAGAAAUAACUCAAUUGAACAGAAGGAACUGAAAAUGGAAAGAAAAAAAACAAACAGAAAAUGGAAGUUCUUUUAGGGACUAGGAAACAAGGAUUCACAUGCAAUUUGCAGUCCUGAAGGUUGCUGUCCACCUGGAUGUGGCUGCAUUGGCAUCACCAAUUUAUGGUACAUGUUGGUUGAUUCAGAGCAGGACAGGGCGUGACUAUAAAAUCUGCCCACAUCCACUUUCUAAGUGAACACAUUCUACAUCUCAGAACUUCUACGUUCAUGAACUCUUCCAAACCAACACAAUUGUAAAAGAGGCAGAAAUGAGAGAGCUGUGCUACUCUUGUCAUAACAGGGAAAUUCCAAGAGUGAAAACUUUUGUAAAAAGAGCUGGGAUGUUGUCUUGCUUGCUGGUUGGUAAAAACUCAUCUUUGUGUUUCCAUAGUGCAAGAUUUUAAAAGGUUAAAAAAAAUGAGGUGAUAUGCCUUGGAGUAUCACAGAAUUCCUCCGAGUCUGUAUUUUAUUUAAUGUCUAGAUCAAAAUAUUACCUCCUGAGCCUGCGUGCACGUGGCUUGGUUGCUGGGACACCUGCCAACCAGGAAUUGGGGAUGCCUGGAAUCAUGUGCUCAGCAGGUGUGAACUGCGUGCAGGAAGAGUUCACCUUCUGUCCUUAGCCCCAGAGGCAGAUCCUCUUCAUUAGCAAGGGAAGAUGGAGAAAAAGAUUAUCGUCGCAACCUGACUGCAUGCCAAAGUUAUGUAUCAUAAGAAGAAAAUCUGUUCAUACGUUCACAAAUAUGUUUCCUCCUGAUCUGUCUUUAGGAAAAAUGUCUUCGUGAGGAGAGAGAGGCAAUAAUCACAGAGGAGAUGAAAGGAAGUGACAGAGGCAGAAGCGGGACCUCUGCUGAGAUUUCUUCGAUCGGGAUGCAUGUCUUUGCUGAAGGCUCUGCAAUGUAGAUUCAUUUGUCUUUUUAGCAAUACAGAGAUGAAUGCAACCCCGAUGUAACUGUGAGUGGUGCGCAGCCACACUGGCAUCACGUGGCAUGAGCAUGCAUGGCCACACCUAACAGGGAAGAGGGAAUGAAUGACGUCCACUUACUGCACCCCAGGUCUUGAUUCUCUCCAUUCAGCACUCUCCUACGUGCAGUCAUCCUAAAGGGAAGUUAGCUCUGAGCCUGUGUCACGCUGCUUGAACAAGUGCUUCUGGAGCAUGUUCUGGAGCAAUGCUCCAGCUCCAGCAGGACCAAAUGCCCCUGGAUCACCGAGGUCUCUGUAACCCUGCAGCCAGCCUACGUGGAUGUUCUGAGCAGAUGCAGAGCGCUGUCUCAUGCACGUGGGAAACGGUUCUCUGAGCUGCAAACUGCAAGUGCUGGUUUCACUUUCACUCUAGGAAUGCCAUGGGAUUGGUAACAGUGCGCUUUGUUGCUCCGAUGAUCACCUGUAAAAUCAUUCUCCGCAUAUAGUAAAACAGGAAGUUAAAUUCUU